rnacentral:rRNA from 1 species
UACGUAGGGCGCAAGCGUUGUCCGGAAUUAUUGGGCGUAAAGAGCUCGUAGGCGGCUUGUCACGUCGGGUGUGAAAGCCCGGGGCUUAACCCCGGGUCUGCGUUCGAUACGGGCUAGCUAGAGUGUGGUAGGGGAGAUCGGAAUUCCUGGUGUAGCGGUGAAAUGCGCAGAUAUCAGGAGGAACACCGGUGGCGAAGGCGGGUCUCUGGGCCGAUACUGACGCUGAGGAGCGAAAGCAUGGGUAGCGAACAGG